GUCGAGCGGCGAACGGGUGAGUAACACGUGAGUAACCUGCCCCUAGCACCGGGAUAGCUCCGGGAAACCGGAAUUAAUACCGGAUAUGACCACGGUCGGCAUCGACUGUGGUGGAAAGGAUUCCGGCUAGGGAUGGACUCGCGGCCUAUCAGCUAGUUGGUUGGGGUAACGGCCCACCAAGGCGACGACGGGUAGCCGGCCUGAGAGGGCGACCGGCCACACUGGGACUGAGACACGGCCCAG
rnacentral:rRNA from 1 species